rnacentral:rRNA from 1 species
UAUGGUAAUGUGUGGCAGCCGCGGUAAUACGUAGGUGGCGAGCGUUGUCCGGAAUUAUUGGGCGUAAAGAGCAUGUAGGCGGUUUUUUAAGUCUGGAGUGAAAAUGCGGGGCUCAACCCCGUAUGGCUCUGGAUACUGGAAGACUUGAGUGCAGGAGAGGAAAGGGGAAUUCCCAGUGUAGCGGUGAAAUGCGUAGAUAUUGGGAGGAACACCAGUGGCGAAGGCGCCUUUCUGGACUGUGUCUGACGCUGAGAUGCGAAAGCCAGGGUAGCGAACGGG